rnacentral:rRNA from 1 species
CAGCAGCCGCGGGAAUACGAAGGGUGCAAGCGUUAAUCGGAAUUACUAGGCGUAAAGCGUGCGUAGGCGGUUUGUUAAGUCUGUUGUGAAAUCCCCGGGCUCAACCUGGGAAUGGCAAUGGAUACUGGCAAGCUAGAGUGUGUCAGAGGAUGGUGGAAUUCCCGGUGUAGCGGUGAAAUGCGUAGAGAUCGGGAGGAACAUCAGUGGCGAAGGCGGCCAUCUGGGACAACACUGACGCUGAGGCACGAAAGCGUGGGGAGCAAACAGGAUUAGAUACCCCAGUAGUCCCUGUCUCUUAUAC